rnacentral:rRNA from 1 species
AUUUUAGCCGUAACAUUCUAAUGCUAAAAUAUUAAAAGCUAUAAACUCUAAAUUUAAAGGAUUUGGCGGUAAUUUAGUCCAGUUAGAGGAACCUGUUUUAUAAACGAUACACCACGAAAAAUCUUACCUAAUUUAAGUUUGUAUACCGUCAUUAUUAGAUAACUUUUAAAAAAAAAGUUAUUAAAAUAAAAAUUUUUAAUAUAUUAGAUCAAGGUGCAGCACAUAGUUAGGAAGUUUAAUGGGUUACAAUAAAAUUUAUUUAUACGGAUAUUAAAUUUAAAGAGUUUUUUUAAGGAGGAUUUAAUAGUAAGUUUGGUUUAAUAAGCCAAUCUGAUAAAGGACCUAAAUUGUGUACAUAUCGCCCGUCACUUUCAUUACCAAAUGAAAUAAGUCGUAACAUAG